CCCAAGUUUAGAAUUGUGUAUCCCGUCCAGGAAAGGGAUCCACCUCCUAAACUCGACGACUCGGAUGACAUCUUUAUUCACUACGCAGCCUUGACACAACGCAUACUCCGCCAGAUCCACUAAUUUCCUGAAAUACAUGUAAUUUGAAAAAUCAACAAAAGUCGAGCAAGUUCAUGUUUAAGAGAAAAGGGGGACAUGAACUCACUGAAGUGCGUCCCCUGUAUCGUAACGUCAAUCUCAAACUUGAUCAGCUACCCGGCGACCUACAACGUACUAAUGUCUAUUAG
rnacentral:lncRNA from 1 species